UACGUAGGGGGCAAGCGUUGUCCGGAUUUAUUGGGCGUAAAGAGCGUGUAGGCGGCCAGGUAGGUCUGCUGUGAAAACUCGAGGCUCAACCUCGAGACGCCGGCGGAAACCAUCUGGCUAGAGUCCGGAAGAGGAGAGUGGAAUUCCUGGUGUAGCGGUGAAAUGCGCAGAUAUCAGGAGGAACACCAAUUGCGAAGGCAGCUCGCUGGGACGUUACUGACGCUGAGACGCGAAAGCGUGGGGAGCAAACAGG
rnacentral:rRNA from 1 species